GGACAAGAAUCUCUUGCUGGUGUUGUUCGCACCAUUUUGUGCUGAGAGGUAGUUGCUGCCGCUUGCACACUUCCCUCCGUCGCCUUGAGAGCUUUGUCUUCAGGGUUGGAGUCUCUGCGGAAAGAUGAGACAUUCAAAGAGAACUUACUGUCCUGACUGGGAUGAAAGAGAUUGGGAUUAUGGAACAUGGAGAAGCAGCAGCAGUCAUAAAAGAAGGAAGAGAUCACAUAGCAGUGCCCGUGAUUAUAAGCGAUGCAAAUACAAUCACUCCAAAACAACGGACAGCUAUUAUCUGGAAAGUAGAUCCAUACAUGAGAAAGCCUAUCACAGCCGACGCUAUGUUGAUGAAUACAGGAAUGACUACAUGACCUACGAGCCAGGGUAUCCCUAUGGAGAACCUGGAAGCAGAUACCAGAAUCAUAGUAGCAAGUCCUCUGGUAGGAGUGGAAGAAGCAGUUACAAAAGCAAACAUAGGAGUCACCACCACACGUCACAUCGUCGUUCACAUGGGAUGAAAUUGUUGAUACUUUAGGUGAAGGUGCUUUUGGAAAAGUGGUGGAGUGUAUCGAUCAUAAAGUGGGAGGUAGACAUGUAGCGGUAAAAAUAGUUAAAAAUGUGGAUAGAUACUGUGAAGCUGCUCAAUCGGAAAUACAAGUUUUGGAACACUUAAAUGCAACAGACCCCCAUAGUACUUUCCGUUGUGUCCAGAUGUUGGAA
rnacentral:lncRNA from 1 species